UACGUAGGGUGCAAGCGUUGUCCGGAAUUAUUGGGCGUAAAGAGCUCGUAGGCGGUUUGUCGCGUCUGCUGUGAAAACUCGGGGCUUAACCCCGGGCGUGCGGUGGAUACUGCCGGGCUAGAGGGUGGUAGAGGCGAGUGGAAUUCCCGGUGUAGCGGUGAAAUGCGCAGAUAUCGGGAGGAACACCAGUAGCGAAGGCGGCUCGCUGGGCCAUUCCUGACGCUGAGACGCGAAAGCUAGGGGAGCGAACAGG
rnacentral:rRNA from 1 species